AGCGAACGCUGGCGGCAGGCUUAACACAUGCAAGUCGAGCGGGCAUCCUUGUGGUGUCAGCGGCAGACGGGUGAGUAACGCGUGGGAACGUGCCCUUCGGUUCGGAAUAACUCAGGGAAACUUGAGCUAAUACCGGAUACGUGCGAGAGCAGAAAGGUUUAUCUGCCGAAGGAUCGGCCCGCGUCUGAUUAGCUAGUUGGUGAGGUUAUGGCUCACCAAGGCGACGAUCAGUAGCUGGUCUGAGAGGAUGAUCAGCCACACUGGGACUGAGACACGGCCCAGACUCCUACGGGAGGCAGCAGUGGGGAAUAUUGGAAAAUGGGGGCAACGCUGAACCAGCCAUGCCGCGUGAGUGAUGACGGCCUUAGGGUUGUAAAGCUCUUUUCUCCGGGACGAUAAUGACGGUACCGGAGGAAUAAGCCCCGGCUAACUUCGUG
rnacentral:rRNA from 1 species